GGUAUAGGUUUUCGGACCUAGAGACCGGCGCACGGGUGCGUAACGCGUAUGCAAUCUACCUUUUACAGAGGGAUAGCCCGGAGAAAUUUGGAUUAAUACCUCAUAGUAUUAUUGAAUGGCAUCAUUUAAUAAUUAAAGUUCCAACGGUAAAAGAUGAGCAUGCGUCCCAUUAGCUUGUUGGUAAGGUAACGGCUUACCAAGGCAACGAUGGGUAGGGGUCCUGAGAGGGAGAUCCCCCACACUGGUACUGAGACACGGACCAGACUCCUACGGGAGGCAGCAGUGAGGAAUAUUGGUCAAUGGGCGCAAGCCUGAACCAGCCAUGCCGCGUGCAGGAUGAAGCAUCUAUGGUGUGUAAACUGCUUUUGUACGAGAAGAAACACUCCUUCGUGAAGGAGCUUGACGGUAUCGUAAGAAUAAGGACCGGCUAACUCCGUGCCAGCAGCCGCGGUAAUACGGAGGGUCCAAGCGUUAUCCGGAAUCAUUGGGUUUAAAGGGUCCGUAGGCGGUUUUGUAAGUCAGUGGUGAAAGCCCAUCGCUCAACGGUGGAACGGCCAUUGAUACUGCAAGACUUGAAUUAUUGGGAAGCAACUAGAAUAUGUAGUGUAGCGGUGAAAUGCUUAGAGAUUACAUGGAAUACCAAUUGCGAAGGCAGGUUGCUACCAAUACAUUGACGCUGAUGGACGAAAGCGUGGGGAGCGAACAGGAUUAGAUACCCUGGUAG
rnacentral:rRNA from 1 species